AAUCUGUUAACCGAACGGCAUGGGAAGGCCGGUCAGAGAGUGUGAGAACCACGUAGGUGAAAACGGAGAGAGCUGCGCAGGAUCCAGAGUACGGCCAGACACGUGAAACCUGGUCGGAAUACGGGGGGACCACCCUCCAACCCUAAAUACUACCCAGUGACCGAUAGCGUAUAGUACUGUGAAGGAAAGGUGAAAAGCACCCCGGGAGGGGAGUGAAAAAGAACCUGAAACCCUGUGCCUACAAGCACCUAGAGCGCGUCAAAGCGUGAUAGGGUACUUUUUGUAGAACGGUCCGGCGAGCGAUUGUAUGCAGCAAGGUUAAGGACUUAAGGUCUGGAGCCGAAGCGAAAGCGAGUUUGAAAAGGGCGUUAAGUUGCAUAUAAUGGGCCCGAAACCGGGUGACCUACCCAUGGUCAGGUUGAAGUGGAAGUAAAAUUCCAUGGAGGACCGAACCGACCUCCGUUGAAAAGGCGGCGGAUGAACUGUGGGUAGCGGAGAAAUUCCAAUCGAACCCGGAGAUAGCUGGUUCUCCCCGAAAUAGUUUUAGGACUAGCCUCAAGUUAGAUACCUGGAGGUAAAGCACUGAAUAGCCUAGCGGCCGAGAGGUUAGCGAAGCUUAUCAAACUCAGAAUGCCAGAGUAUUGAUGCUUGGGAGUCAGACAGUGUCAGAUAAAUGUCAUUGUCAAAAGGGAAACAGCCCAGAUCUACAGCUAAGGUCCCAAAGUCAGGUUAAGUGGAAAACGAUGUGAAGAUACGCAGACAACCAGGAUGUUGGCUCAGAAGCAGCCACUCAUUCAAAGAGUGCGUAAUAGCUCACUGGUCGAGCGUCUUUGCGCGGAGAAUUUAACGGGGCUAAACCUGACACCGAAGCUUAGGCAAUG
rnacentral:rRNA from 1 species